rnacentral:tRNA from 1 species
UGCGGGGUGGAGCAGUCUGGUAGCUCGUCGGGCUCAUAACCCGGAGGUCGUAGGUUCAAAUCCUGCCCCCGCUACCA